rnacentral:rRNA from 1 species
CCUACGGGAGGCAGCAGUGGGGAAUAUUGCACAAUGGGCGCAAGCCUGAUGCAGCCAUGCCGCGUGUAUGAAGAAGGCCUUCGGGUUGUAAAGUACUUUCAGCGGGGAGGAAGGGAGUAAAGUUAAUACCUUUGCUCAUUGACGUUACCCGCAGAAGAAGCACCGGCUAACUCCGUGCCAGCAGCCGCGGUAAUACGGAGGGUGCAAGCGUUAAUCGGAAUUACUGGGCGUAAAGCGAGUGUAGGUGGCUCAUUAAGUCACAUGUGAAAUCCCCGGGCUCAACCUGGGAACUGCAUCUGAUACUGGCAAGCUUGAGUCUCGUAGAGGGGGGUAGAAUUCCAGGUGUAGCGGUGAAAUGCGUAGAGAUCUGGAGGAAUACCGGUGGCGAAGGCGGCCCCCUGGACGAAGACUGACGCUCAGGUGCGAAAGCGUGGGGAGCAAACAGGAUUAGAUACCCGAGUAGUC